CAUCACAAGGGAAACGAAAACCAAGAUUUGCUUUAUCCGGUAUCAAUCGCGAGCUACGAGCAAAUAGAACACCCUUUAGUAGUAUCAAUACCGUCACAUGAAUUGUAAAUGCAUGAAUAUGAUGGACCAAAAAAUCCGCAGUUCCUAAUGGAAUAGCUUGGUACGUCUUAGUCGCUGCGAUCGUGACUUUGUUGAAGUUGCAAUUCAAAACCUUUUGUUUUGAUCACGAUAUGCUUGGAGAAAGAUUUUGCUUUGGAGGCUGGCUCUAUUUUUGCACAUCAACUGUUUGACGAAAUUUCCGUUAGAAUGUCUCAGGAAAUCUCCUGCCAGAGAUAGCUCGAAAUCAACAGAUCUAUGAUGGCACUAACAUUAGCUUCCUAAGAGCACAAAAUGGCAACAAACAAUAACUGAUAUUAGCGCACAAAUAGUAGUGCAUGAGGAUUGGGUUGGGUAUGAGGCUUCACCUCGGCUAAAUAAACUUCUCAGUUUCCCUCUUUCCAAUCGCUCAUGUAGCUUUUUAGCUACUGGAAUGUCCAUCUCUGCGUUCUAUUGACAUGAAUGUAGGCGGCAAUGGAAGAAGCACUUGUUCGUAUUUUAACUCCAAGGUGUAUAACAACACCUUUUCUGAUGAGGAGAAGCGCAACAAGUUCAUCAGGUGGAGAAGAAAGUAAGAAAUCUUGAAUACAGUCCAACUGGUAUCUCUACCAUUGUCCAGGUCAAUGAUCUUAGAAAUUCUCCUGGACUUGGCAAGAGGGAGCUGAGGCAGGCUACCAAUCAGGCCCUUCAAUUGCUUCAGGAUAACUACCCUGAGUUCGUUGCCAAGCAGAUAUUUUGUCAAUGUUCCUUGGUGGUACCUUGCCUUUUCUAGGAUGAUCAGUGCUUUCCUGACACAGAGGAAAAGGACAAAGAGCAAAUUUGUAUUUGCUGGUCCAUCCAAAUCUGCUGAAACCCUUUUCAAGUAAGGGCAUUUCUUCCCCUUUUUUACUGCUCGAUCAUCAUAAAUAUGUCCUGUGUUUUUAUUUCUGCUUUCUUUAUAUAAGGGCGACCCUAAGAGUAUCCGUAAGGUUAUUUGCUGGUCCAUCCAAAUCUGUUGAAACCCUUUUCAAGUCAUGGGUUCGAGUCUGAGAAAUGGUCACUUUGCAAAAGUACAAGGGUAUGGUUGUGUAGAAAAUUCUUACCGUUCAACCGGUGAUUGGUGAUCUGCAAACCUAAGUUGUCUCCAGAGGACUGAGAAUUUGGGGCAGAUGAGGAGGCGGAAGAGUGUUUUGGGGAAGCCAUGAAUAGAUAAAGAAGGGUUGACCGUGGAUGAAAAAUCAAGUUUUUUUAAAUUUUUGAUCUGACCUCUGGAACAGGAAGGGGAGAAGCCGGCGAGAAAGUCUGUGCAAGUCGCGGCGGAAAAAGACGUCGGGAAGGCGGCGCGUGGAGCUCACGCACCGGAGGCUGACGGCGCGUGUGACGGCGCGUGCGGCGGUUGACGGCGAUGGGUCCAGUGGCGGUCGACUCUUCGGAUCCUUCUGAGUCGAAUGGUCACCUCACUUUCUUGAUCAGAGAAAUUAGCUGACCUCUCAACAUCUCCUACACCCAGAUUGAUAGAUGGGAUAUCUUGUUCACUAAAUUUGACAUUAUUGAUGAUAAGGUGGGAGCUGCACUUUCAAUGGUUUACAUAUUUGGAGCUCCAGUCAUGUUUGUUGGCUGCGGACAGUCCUAUACUGACCUCAAGAAACGCAAUGUGGACUCAAUUGUGAAGACUCUCCUUAAAUGAGGAAGCAACCUAUAUUAUUUUUGAUUCACUAAUGACCUGUCAUGAAUGUUUCUGUUUGAUGAUUCUCCUCGUCGAUCCCAUUACUUUGUAAGAAAAACUAAUGUGGCUAUGACUUUAGAGGCAAUUUUUGGUCUAUUUAUAUUGAAAAGCUUCUUUCCUCUAUCCACAUUGAGGUAAACUAAUGUGUGUAUUUGUACAAUCAGUUUCAAUAAAAUAUAUCUAUGA